rnacentral:rRNA from 1 species
CCUACGGGAGGCAGCAGUGGGGAAUUUUGGACAAUGGGCGAAAGCCUGAUCCAGCAAUGCCGCGUGAGUGAAGAAGGCCUUCGGGUUGUAAAGCUCUUUUGUCAGGGAAGAAACGGUGAGGGCUAAUAUCCCUUGCUAAUGACGGUACCUGAAGAAUAAGCACCGGCUAACUACGUGCCAGCAGCCGCGGUAAUACGUAGGGUGCAAGCGUUAAUCGGAAUUACUGGGCGUAAAGCGUGCGCAGGCGGUUUUGUAAGUCUGUCGUGAAAUCCCCGGGCUCAACCUGGGAAUUGCGAUGGAGACUGCAAGGCUAGAAUCUGGCAGAGGGGGGUAGAAUUCCACGUGUAGCAGUGAAAUGCGUAGAGAUGUGGAGGAACACCGAUGGCGAAGGCAGCCCCCUGGGUCAAGAUUGACGCUCAUGCACGAAAGCGUGGGGAGCAAACAGGAUUAGAUACCCUGGUAGUCCACGCCCUAAACGAUGUCUACUAGUUGUCGGGUUUUAAUUAACUUGGUAACGCAGCUAACGCGUGAAGUAGACCGCCUGGGGAGUACGGUCGCAAGAUUAAAACUCAAAGGAAUUGACGG